rnacentral:rRNA from 1 species
UACGUAGGCAGCGAGCGUUGUUCGGAGUUACUGGGCGUAAAGGGUGUGUAGGCGGUUCUUUAAGUUUGGUGUGGAAUCUCCCGGCUCAACCGGGAGGGUGCGCCGAAUACUGAGGGACUUGGAGUGCGGGAGAGGAAAGUGGAAUUCCUGGUGUAGCGGUGAAAUGCGUAGAUAUCAGGAGGAACACCGGUGGUGUAGACGGCUUUCUGGACCGUAACUGACGCUGAGACACGAAAGCGUGGGUAGCAAACAGG